rnacentral:RNase_P_RNA from 2 species
GAGCACGGCUAACUGCUGCAUUUAAUAAUGUAGAGGAAAAUCCGCUCUAGCACUUGCUGAGAUGCAAGUAGUGAUCAUGCUAGACCCAAUAAGUCUAGGCAACUUGAAAAAGUUGACAACUAGUGCAACAGAGACGAGCUUAUUAAGUUAAGAUGCAACGAUGUAAACUUCAUGAGUUAGAAACCCAAAUUUUGGUAGGGGAAUUAGGCCAAUGGAAUUCAACAAAGGUCUGAAAACUAUAUUCACUAUAGUUUAGAUAAAUAGUUAGCACUACAUUUUUAGAUGUUUAAUCAUCAUGAAAGUAGUACAAAAAGCGGUUUAUAGUG